UAUUUUAGUACAGAGGCUGCGCGUGCGGCACCGGGAGUGCUGGGAGGGACUGGUUUGGACUGGGAGCACUGGUUUGUAAUGGGAGCACUGGUUCAUACUGGGAUCCCUGUUCCAUACUGGAAUCAUUGGUCCAUACUGGGAGCACUGGUUCAUACUGGGAGCACUGGUUCAUACUGGAAUCAUUGGUCCAUACUGGGAGCACUGGUUCAUACUGGGAUCCCUGUUCCAUACUGGGAUCAUUGGUCCAUACUGGGAGCACUGGUUUUUACUGGGCCCGGCCCCCCAGCACCACGCAGAGCCCGCGGAUCUUUCUGGAAAGUUUUUAAUCAGAACCUGGAAAAUCCAACGCAGAGGGGGCGUGGCCUGGGCUUGGCCCCUCCCCCCAGUGUCCCCGCACCCAGGGGCGGUGCCCGGGGCGGGGCUACAGCAGGACAGAAAUGGGGGGAAGGGAGGCCCCACCCCCGGCCCCGCCCCUCCCCCACCCAUACCGGGGCCUUCCUGAGUGCGGGGGGAGGGGCAGCCCUGGGGGGAGGGGCGGGGACAGCUCUGUCCCCAACGUGGGGGGGAGGGGCAGGGGACACCGGCAGGGGGAGGGGACACCCCCACCCCCCCUAAGGCCACCCCCGGACUGUCCCCGUGUCCCCCGUAAGGCUCAGGGACCCCCAGGAUGUCCCCAAGGUGCCACCAGGAUGUCCCCAUGAAUGAAACCCCGGCCCUGUCCCCAAGGCCCAUCCAGGAUGUCCCCGGGUGUAUCCAGGCGGUCUCAGCUCCAUCCAGGGCUCCCAGGUCCAUCCUGGUGCUCCCGUGUCCCCCCGUGGGUGUCCCCUCCAUGUCCGUGGCUCCGUGGCCACCCCAGAGGCACUCCCAGGUCACCGUGGCCGUGUCCCCAAAAGCCGCAGCCCCGAGGUGGCCAUGGCCGUGUCCCCAGGGGUGACAGCCCUGAGGUGGCCGUGUCCCCAGGAGCCAGAGCUCCAAGGUGGCCGUGGCCGUGUCCCCAAGAGCUGCAGCUUGGUGGCCACUCCUGGAUCACCAUGUCCGUGUCCCCAGAGCUCCAUGGCCACCUCAGCUGUCCCCAGGUGACUCCCACUGUCCCAUCCGUUGCUCAGAGCUUGAGCUCCGUGGCCACCUUGGAGCCCCUCCUGGUCACCGUGUCCGUGUCCCUGGAGCUCCAUGGCCACUCCUGGGUCACCACAUCCGUGUCCGUGUCCCCGGAGCUCGGUGGCCCCCCAGCCGUCCCCGCCGUGGCUCAGAGCUUGAGCUCGUUGGCCACCUUGGAGGCGAUGUUCUUGAAGGCCAUGGAGGUGCCGGCGAUGCGCUUGAAGCGGACGCCGUUGAGCGAGAGCCGGGGCAGCUUGCACACCUCCAUCUCCCACUGCACGAAGGAGUCGUGCCCGGGCGCGCCGUGGGCGCAGAGCAGCACGAAGCGCUCCUGGGGCUCGCAGCGGCAGCUGUUGGCGUCCAGCACCUUGCGGAUCUCGCGCAGCAUCUCCCCGGGCUCCAGCGAGCUCGUCGUCUUCAUGCUCCACGUGAAGCGCAGCGAGCGCGGCUUGGCGUCGCGCCCGGCGUCGCGGGGGUCCUUGUCGGGGCCCACCGCGGGUC
rnacentral:lncRNA from 1 species